rnacentral:rRNA from 1 species
GCUUAUUAACGGCGACUGACGCGGCAACAGCUCAAAUUUNAAAUCUGGCGUCCAUGGCCGCCCGAUUUUAUUUGCAGAGGAUGCUUUUGGCGAAGGGCCUUCCGAGUUCCCUGGAACGGGACUCCAUAAAGGGUGAGAGCCCCGUACGGUCUGGUGCCGANCCGCUGUAAAGCUCCUUCGACGAGUCCAGUAUUUUGGGAAUGCUGCUCUAAAUGGGAGGUAAACUCCUUCUAAAGCUAAAUAUUGGCCAUAGACCGAUAGCGCACAAGUAGAGUGAUCGAAAGAUGAAAAGCACUUUGAAAAGAGAGUUAAAUAGCACGUGAAAUUGUUGAAAGGGAAGCGCUUAUGACCAGACUUGGGCUUGGUGGNUCANCCGUCCUUUUGGGCGGUGCAUUCUGCCAGUUCAGGCCAGCAUCAGUUGCUGGUCGGGGAGAAAAAUACCGGGAAUGCGGCUCCUCGGAGCGUUAUAUCCCGCUAUCAUGCCCUCCCAACGACUGAGGUUAGCCGUUCUUCACGGAUGCUGGCGUAAUGGUCAUCAACGACCCGUCUUGAAACACGGACCAAGGAGUCGUCCUGCUAUGCCAGUGUUUGGGUGCAAAACCCCUUCCCGAAAUGAAAGUGAACGGAGGUGAGAGCUUCGGCGCAUCAUCGACCGAUCCUGAUGUUUUCGGAUGGAUCUGAGUAAAAGCAUACCGGGCCCGGUCCCUAAAUAGGGGAACUAUGCUCGGAUAGGGCAAAACCCUAGGAAACUCUGGUGGAC